CCAAUAUCUAGCUAAACAAAUGUGAGACAUAAAUAUCAAUUCUUAGAGCAAGAUAUUUAUCUUAAAAUAAGUUGGCAAAUCAAGCAUAUGAAAAAUUUUCUUCGGUCGUUGACGCUCCAAAAAAUACAUGAAUCAAAUAUGAAAUAUUAAGGUAUCCCCCAUCAUGAGCCUGGCGAGACGAACAUUUCCAUCUCUCGACAUUUAGAGGGUCAUUAACACUUAAAUGUGGAUGACAAUGAAGAAAGAAGAAACCAACAGCACGACAAUAUCGUCGUCGAGAAAGAGUAUGAGUAUCAAUAAAAAACCCAAAAAUAUAGAUACAGCUCCGUAAUGACUUCCAUAAAUUUCCCAUAUUCAUUAAGUUAUCACACGACAUUGCAGCGAAACUAAGGCGAGAAAUCGAUGAAAAUGAAAACGCAAUGCAAGAAAAUUGUUUUCACAAUAAAACGCUUCGAAAAUCCAAAAGAAGAACUAAGACGGGGAAAAAAGACCAACUGAGCUUUAAUCUCUUUUUGUUUUUGUUCGCCUCCAUUUGACUUUUAUGUGACCACUACUUGGAAGGAGUCAAUAUGAAAGUGUAUUAAGUUUAUUGGAAGACUUUGUUACAUUUUGUGAGUCAAUUGACAGACUAUUAUACUCCAAUGGGAAAACUUGUA